UUCGAAAAUAAAGCAAAUUUAUCGGUUAAUUCAAUAAUAAAUAAGAAAUGGGAAUUAGUACUCCAUUUUUUGGUACUAUUCAACCAAUCCCCUUUAAAUGUUUACUUACUUAUUCACUUUCAAUGAUUGAAUUCUUAAUCUUAUUCCAGUUAUUUUCAAAAUUUCAAUUGGAUAAAAUCUUUCGAAAGUCUUUUCUUUUUUUCUAGCAUUCUAGAUAAUAUCAUCUAUAUUCUCUAUGGAAUUCGAACCUGUACCUUAAUUUAUAAUUCAUUUUUUUUUUAUCAUUGGCUUUCGUAUUUCCUCAGUAGACAAUUUUUUAGACUUACCCUAUUUUUUUUGACCUCUUUUUUUCUUUUCUGGGGGGGAAAGCUGCCUAUUUUUACAUCUAGGAUUUACAUAUACAACAUAUAUCACUGUCAAGAUUAAGAGUAAAUUUUUUUUAUUCUUUAGAUUAGAUCUUUCGAUUCCGUAAUUCAAAAAUAGGAGAUUCCUAUUUGAAAAGAAACAAAGAUUGGGUUGCGCCAUACAGAGAAAAGAGUAUACAAUAAUGAUGUAUUUGACAAAUCAAAUACCAUCGUUUAAUUUAAUAAUAACGAACCUUUGGGAUGAAUUGAUAAUAUGAGUUUAUUUUUAUAAAAGAUUUCAUUAACUCCUAAGUCAUAUCGAGUAGACCUUAUUG
rnacentral:misc_RNA from 1 species